rnacentral:rRNA from 1 species
GAUGAACGCUGGCAGCGUGCCUAAUACAUGCAAGUAGAACGCUGAAGGAGGAGCUUGCUCUUCUGGAUGAGUUGCGAACGGGUGAGUAACGCGUAGGUAACCUGCCUGGUAGCGGGGGAUAACUAUUGGAAACGAUAGCUAAUACCGCAUGACAACAGUUAUUGCAUGAUAACUGUUUAAAAGGGGCAACUGCUCCACUACCAGAUGGACCUGCGUUGUAUUAGCUAGUUGGUGAGGUAACGGCUCACCAAGGCGACGAUACAUAGCCGACCUGAGAGGGUGAGCGGCCACACUGGGACUGAGACACGGCCCAGACUCCUACGGGAGGCAGCAGUAGGGAAUCUUCGGCAAUAGACGGAAGUCUGACCGAGCAACGCCGCGUGAGUGAAGAAGGUUUUCGGAUCGUAAAGCUCUGUUGUAAGAGAAGAACGAGUGUGAGAGUGGAAAGUUCACACUGUGACGGUAUCUUACCAGAAAGGGACGGCUAACUACGUG